GAGGGUAUAGCUCAAGUGGUAGAGCGCAUGCUUAGCAUGCACAGGGUCCUGGGUUCAAUCCCCAGUACAUCCU
rnacentral:tRNA from 1 species